rnacentral:rRNA from 1 species
UGGGGAAUUUUGGACAAUGGGCGAAAGCCUGAUCCAGCAAUGCCGCGUGUGUGAAGAAGGCCUUCGGGUUGUAAAGCACUUUUGUCCGGAAAGAAAUCCUUGGCUCUAAUACAGUCGGGGGGUGACGGUACCGGAAGAAUAAGCACCGGCUAACUACGUGCCAGCAGCCGCGGUAAUACGUAGGGUGCAAGCGUUAAUCGGAAUUACUGGGCGUAAAGCGUGCGCAGGCGGUUUGCUAAGACCGAUGUGAAAUCCCCGGGCUCAACCUGGGAACUGCAUUGGUGACUGGCAGGCUAGAGUAUGGCAGAGGGGGGUAGAAUUCCACGUGUAGCAGUGAAAUGCGUAGAGAUGUGGAGGAAUACCGAUGGCGAAGGCAGCCCCCUGGGCCAAUACUGACGCUCAUGCACGAAAACGUGGGGAGCAAACAGGAUUAGAUACCCUGGUAGUCCACGCCCUAAACGAUGUCAACUAGUUGUUGGGGAUUCAUUUCCUUAGUAACGUAGCUAACGCGUGAAGUUGACCGCCUGGGGAGUACGGUCGCAGGAUUAAAACUCAAAGGAAUUGACGGGGUCAUAGCUGUUUCCU